CGUUAACAUAGGUAUUUAUUUUCAUAAAAUCUCGUCCUCUGAGUAAUUUCUAAGCUGUUGGUUUUUUUGUUGAAUCAACGAAUGCAAACGUCGUGUGAUCGCUUUGAUGUAUGACGAGAUACUUUCCAUAUAAGUCUCUUUUUAAGCCCAUGAUAGCUGGGUAAUACAAACACUAAUCGACAGAAGGCGAUAUCUAUUGCUUCGAGAAACAAAACAUUGAGUCCGGAUUUGUGAAUUAUUGAUAGGAUAGUGUUGACUAAAUAAAAACUGGCGUUUAAUCCAUAUUCCCGCGUUUGUGCAGGUAAACGUGUCCAUGUGCUGGUAUUCGCAAAUUAUUUGCGCAUCAAUACGAGUUACCAUCAUUGAAAUUUAUUCAAAAAAUGUGCAUUCUGUGCAGCCACAGACAAGGUAAACGUUUCUUUUUACACAAUCCCCGUUCAUGUUGUCUCUCUUUUUCUGUAUUACAGAUAUUAGUUUUCCUAAAUCGACUAACGACUGAAUCUCAUGGAAUCGAUGUUGGUGGCUGUUUCGUAAUAACUCCCUCGUCAACACUUACGAUGAUAGGAAGUUUUAUUACUUACAUACUGGUUGUGAUCCAGACAAAAUCUUUAUAGCUGCCCUCUCUUCCUUAUUAUACCUUUCCAAUGAUAAAUUAUAUGCGAAGCUCGAUUUAACAACAUUACCUCGCCAGUACAUGAAUUCGGACCACGUCCCUACAAACCUUUCCGAAGCAAGAUUCUUGAAAAGAUUAAAAAAUAGCGUGAUACUGUAUCGAGUUCCAGCCUCUCCUACCAGCGUUAGAUUGAUUAUGUAAUCUUUGUUAUCAGACACACAUGCUAUUGAUUUUCAACUAGUUUACUUACAACUGAUCAUCACUUUUGUCAAAAAGAAUAUUUUUCACUUUGAUUUUUCUCAAUAUAUAUUGUAUUUUCCUUCCCACUCAUCUGGGCAACAUGUUUUUCGUUUCUCUCAUUUUCAUCAAUAUAUAAGACCGAUAAAUCACUGGAUGUAUAUUAUAAAUGUUCAACCUUACAUUACGUAGUUUCAUUUUUGGCAAUAUUUUCUUGAAAUAAAAUAUCAUGAUGAAUCUA